rnacentral:rRNA from 1 species
UACGGAGGGUGCAAGCGGUUAUCCGGAUUUACUGGGUUUAAAGGGUGCGUGAGGCGGGCUGAUAAGUCAGCGGUGAAAGCCCCGAGCUUAACUCGGGAAUUGCCAUUGAUACUGCCAGUCUUGAAUACGGUUGAGGUAGGCGGAAUAUAGCAUGUAGCGGUGAAUGACUUAGAUAUGCUAUAGAACACCGAUUGCGAAGGCAGCUUACUAAGCCGUUAUUGACGCUGAGGCACGGAAAGCGAUGGGGAGCAAACAGGG